rnacentral:rRNA from 1 species
GACGAACGCUGGCGGCGUGCUUAACACAUGCAAGUCGAGCGGUAAGGCCCUUUCGGGGGUACGACGAGCGGCGAACGGGUGAGUAACACGUGGGUGACCUGCCCUCAGCUCUGGGAUAAGCCUGGGAAACCGGGGUCUAAUACCGGAUAUGACUCCAUGACGCAUGUUGUGGGGUGGAAAGCCUUGUGCGGCUGAGGAUGGGCCCGCGGCCUAUCAGCUUGUUGGUGGGGUGAUGGCCUACCAAGGCGACGACGGGUAGCCGGCCUGAGAGGGCGACCGGCCACACUGGGACUGAGGACACGGCCCAGACUCCUACGGGAGGCAGCAGUGGGGAAUCUUGCGCAAUGGGCGAAAGCCUGACGCAGCGACGCCGCGUGAGGGAUGACGGCCCU